rnacentral:rRNA from 1 species
UACGAAGGGGGCUAGCGUUGCUCGGAAUUACUGGGCGUAAAGCGCACGUAGGCGGCUUCUUAAGUCGGUGGUGAAAUCCUGGAGCUCAACUCCAGAACUGCCUUCGAUACUGGGAAGCUCGAGUCCGGGAGAGGUGAGUGGAACUGCGAGUGUAGAGGUGAAAUUCGUAGAUAUUCGCAAGAACACCAGUGGCGAAGGCGGCUCACUGGACACGUAUUGACGCUGAGGUGCGAAAGCGUGGGGAGCAAACAGGG